CCUACGGGAGACAGCAGUGAGGAAUAUUGGUCAAUGGACGAGAGUCUGAACCAGCCAAGUAGCGUGAAGGAUGACUGCCCUAUGGGUUGUAAACUUCUUUUAUAAAGGAAUAAAACGAGGCACGUGUGCCUUUUUGCAUGUACUUUAUGAAUAAGGAUCGGCUAACUCCGUGCCAGCAGCCGCGGUAAUACGGAGGAUCCGAGCGUUAUCCGGAUUUAUUGGGUUUAAAGGGAGCGUAGAUGGGUUGUUAAGUCAGUUGUGAAAUUUUGCGGCUCAACCGUAAAAUUGCAAUUGAUACUGGCAGUCUUGAGUACAGUUGAAGUAGGCGGAAUGCGUGGUGUAGCGGUGAAAUGCUUAGAUAUCACGAAGAACUCCGAUUGCGAAGGCAGCUUACUAAGCUGCCACUGACAUUGAUGCUCGAAAGUGUGGGUAUCAAACAGGAUUAGAUACCCGUGUAGUC
rnacentral:rRNA from 1 species